rnacentral:rRNA from 1 species
UACAGAGGGUGCAAGCGUUAAUCGGAAUUACUGGGCGUAAAGCGCGCGUAGGCGGCCUAUUGAGUCGGAUGUGAAAGCCCCGGGCUUAACCUGGGAAUGGCAUUCGAUACUGGUAGGCUAGAGUUUGGUAGAGGGUAGUGGAAUUCCCAGUGUAGCGGUGAAAUGCGUAGAUAUUGGGAGGAACAUCAGUGGCGAAGGCGGCUACCUGGAUCAAAACUGACGCUGAGGUGCGAAAGCGUGGGGAGCAAACAGG